rnacentral:rRNA from 1 species
CUAAGAAUAUUCCGCAAUGGACGGAAGUCUGACGGAGCGACGCCGCGUGGAUGACGAAGGCCGAAAGGUUGUAAAGUUCUUUUGCUGGGGAAGAAUAACCGCAGGAGGGAAUGCCUGUGGGAUGACAAGAACCGGCGAAUAAGCCCCGGCCAACUACGUGCCAGCAGCCGCGGUAACACGUAGGGGGCGAGCGUUGUUCGGAAUUACUGGGCGUAAAGGGCAUGUAGGCGGCUUGGAAAGCCUGGCGUGAAAGUCUGCAGCUUAACUGCAGGGGUGCGCUGGGAACUGCUGAGCUUGAGUGGCGGAGAGGGAGCUGGAAUUCCUGGUGUAGGGGUGAAAUCUGUAGAUAUCAGGAAGAACACCGAUGGCGAAGGCAAGCUCCUGGCCGAUGACUGACGCUGAGGUGCGAAAGUGUGGGGAUCAAACAGGAUAGAUACCCUGGUAGUCCACACAGUCAACGAUGUGCACUAGGUGCUGGGGCGGUAGCUUCGGUGCCGGAGCGAACGUGGUAAGUGCACCGCCUGGGGAGUAUGCUCGCAAGGGUGAAACUC